GAUAUCCCAUGCGCGUAUUUUCCUUCUUUCCACCUCCCAAAAUCAAUUUUUUUCAGCUUCCAAUGAAUCGUGCUAGCCGUCGCCCCUUCGUUUUCUUAUUCUUCCUCUAUAUUAAUUCUGUCAUCUACAGACAAUUGCAUGUUCCAUCUUCAUCCGUAAACCCAAUCCCUAGACCAUUGCAUCUUCCGUCGUCAUCCCCAAAGUGAAAAGAGGAGUGGUGUUUGACGAUGAUGGACAUCUCUAUUUUGAAAUCUCUUUUACAUUCUAUGAUUUUGUUGUUGUAAUUAUUCUUUUGCUUUGAAGAUUCUUAUUGAUAUUUUCAAUGUUUUAGGUUUGUUUGAUUUCCAUAUAUAAUUCCUUGCUAGACAUUUUAUCUUUUUCGUUGGUCGCUACAUGGUUUGGUUUCUUCUCUUCAUCGGUUAGUUGCAGAAAGAGUACUAUUGAAGCUUUGUCGGAAAAGAUGAAAGAAGUUGCGUUGGUUUCUCCAUGAUCCGGAAAGAUGGGGAAGGGAGGCAAAUCCGCUAGGCUGACAAAAUUCAUCAGAUCUGGAAUACCAGAGCCUUACAUUGAGGUUCUUGAAACUUCAACAAUUUUGAUCCUUUCAUUUUUUGGAAAUCGGGUUCACUAAAGGUAUAUAUAGCUUGCCGAUUAGUGAGUUAUUUUGUUUCAAAAAUUACUUCUACAAUUCUUGACCAAUCUGAUUCUGUUUGUUUCUGUCGCACUACUUUAGCUCAACAUCAAAGCUAUGAUUUUAUUGCAUGAAAAUUUUUCCAUAGAAAACAUUACGGUGUUGUGUUGUGAUGUUUAUCUCAAGUUGUGGUUGCUCAAGCAGUAUUAACCUACUAAGUGUUCGAUGAAAUGUCUGUGUUGGUGACGGGGUUUCAAAUUUCCAAGAAAUGAAGAAAGGAGGGCACCCACUAGAGAAAUGGAUAUCAUAUGUUACUCAAACCGCUAGGUUGAUGACAAAGAUACGCCUUAUUGGUAAAGUUUAUCAUUUUUAUAUGCUAUGAUGAUACUAAGUUUAUUAAUCGCAUUCAUACAUAUAGUGUUUUGUGAUACUUUAACAUUCAUGUCGAACUUGAGCGGUUGCCAAAGAAGACUACAAAUUUUAUUAAUUCUUAUGUAUUUGAUUGAUUUAUUAAGAUUCUUAUUGAUAUUUCUAAUGUUUUAGGUUUGUUUGAUUUCCAUAUAUAAUUCCUUGCUAGACAUUUUAUCUAUCUCAGCUUAGAAGAUUAUAACUUUUUUGAAUAUGCACCAUGAAGUUGCUGCUGCAGAUUUGAUAAAAUAGUUGCAGCAUGCCUCUGAUAUCAAUGUUGUAUGUGUCCAUUUACUACAGUGAGCUGUCAAAAACACUCAUCCUUACAAACAGGUUUUGCAGAAAAUGGACAUCUUCAACCAGAGAAAUGACCAAUCAGAAUGGGACUGGAUUGAUGUGCAUAAAGGCUAUAAUGAUGUGAACCUUAGUAGUAACAAGAGUUUUAGGGGUUGGAGUUAUGUGAAUUAAAGUAAUGAUGUAUAUGAAUUCAGCCAUUGACUGAGUAGUGAUUUGAACUAUUAUAAUUACUCUCUCCCUUCAUAAUUAUAAUAUCAAUUUAAAACAUUUGUUUUGCCCUUUUUUUAGCAUUAAAUCAAUGGGUUAUUUGUGUAGUUUAUCAGGUUUUUCCUUCAGAAGGAAAAAUUAGUUAUUGUAUCUACUUUGGUAAAACAGUUAUGCAUCCAAUUCAAGUAAAAUCGGAAUAAAAAGUUCCUGUUCUCUAAACAUUUUG